UACAGAGAGUGCGAGCGUUAAUCGGAAUUACUGGGCGUAAAGCGUGCGCAGACGGUCAUGUAAGUCGGGUGUGAAAGCCCCGGGCUCAACCUGGGAAUUGCAUUCGAGACUGUGUGGCUAGGGUGCGGAAGAGGGAAGCGGAAUUUCCGGUGUAGCGGUGAAAUGCGUAGAUAUCGGAAGGAACACCAGUGGCGAAAGCGGCUUCCUGGUCCAGCACCGACGUCAGGCACGAAAGCGUGGGGAGCAAACAGG
rnacentral:rRNA from 1 species